rnacentral:misc_RNA from 1 species
CUUCCUGUUGACGUUAAAUUACCUGUCAAGCAUGUAUUGUCAAAGGAACUUCAGCUGUACUUUGACAAAAUCACAGAGCUUACCAUGAAGAAGUCUGGUUCUAUACUUUUCAAACAAGCUUUAGUUAGCUUGGCAACAGACUCUGGUCUCCAUCCUUUACUUCCUUAUUUCACUUACUUGAUUGCUGAUGAGGUUGCACGAAAUUUGAAUAAUUUCUCUGUCCUGUUUGCUUUAAUGCGUGUUGCCCAAAGCCUUCUUCAAAAUCCACACAUACAUGUAGAACCUUAUCUGCACCAACUGAUGCCGUCUAUUAUAACCUGCCUAGUUGCUAAAAGGUUGGGAAAUAGAUUUUCUGACAAUCAUUGGGAGCUUAGAAACUUCACAGCAAACCUGGUUGCAUCAAUAUGCAAAAGAUUUGGGCAUGUUUACCACAAUCUGCAGCCACGUGUCACAAGGACUCUACUCCAUGCAUUCUUGGACCCAAC